rnacentral:lncRNA from 1 species
UGAUUUGGAUUUAUAAGCGAAGCAUUCCUCAGUCCAUUCCACCUGAGGGGCUGUAUCCGGUUGGCAUGCUCUUUGUAUGACUAACGGAGCCGAUUGUGCAUGAAAUACAGCAGGAGGAGGAGGUGAUGGGAGUCCUCAUGAUUUCUCCAAUAGGAGUACAAAGCAGGCAGCCUGGUUUCAGGCUGGUUUUAUGUCCACCUUUCACCAGAAUCUUCUGCUUAAAAGCUAUUCUAAUAUGACCUUUCCCUGUGAAACAGCUCUGCAUGUUAAAGGAAUACGUACUUUUUUCCGGGGAAUAUGCUCUGGCAUAUGUAAUCUGCUGACCUGCACCAUGCAUGAUGUGGACUAGAAUGCUAAAAGAGAGAAUAUGGAAAGUAGAAGGACAUGAAGAUUUAGUCUGUUGAGAUGCUUUACUGGUAAGCCAAGAAAGAGAGACUGACAAAUCUCUAUAUAUUAAAAAAACUUAAAAUUCUCCAUAGAGCAAAGCAAAUCUCAAACUGUGCUAACUGAGUAGAUUAUGGAGGGAUUCAAGCACAGAGGUCAAAGACGAGUGUUCACAGCUUUAGGUCCUAAAUGCCAUGCUUCCCCAGGUUCCAGAGGGUUGUAGAGGGUAAAAGAAGAUGUGCUGAGGACCGACUUAUGUGGUUGUAGCAAAUGGGAUACAACAAAUGAGUUUUCUGCAUGCAUUUAU